rnacentral:rRNA from 1 species
GCCUAAUACUGCAAGUCGAGCGAACAGAAGGGAGCUUGCUCCCGGAUGUUAGCGGCGGACGGGUGAGUAACACGUGGGUAACCUGCCUGUAAGACUGGGAUAACUCCGGGAAACCGGAGCUAAUACCGGAUAGUUCCUUGAACCGCAUGGUUCAAGGAUGAAAGACGGUUUCGGCUGUCACUUACAGAUGGACCCGCGGCGCAUUAGCUAGUUGGUGGGGUAAUGGCUCACCAAGGCGACGAUGCGUAGCCGACCUGAGAGGGUGAUCGGCCACACUGGGACUGAGACACGGCCCAGACUCCUACGGGAGGCAGCAGUAGGGAAUCUUCCGCAAUGGACGAAAGUCUGACGGAGCAACGCCGCGUGAGUGAUGAAGGUUUUCGGAUCGUAAAGCUCUGUUGUUAGGGAAGAACAAGUGCGAGAGUAACUGCUCGCACCUUGACGGUACCUAACCAGAAAGCCACGGCUAACUACGUGCCAGCAGCCGCGGUAAUACGUAGGUGGCAAGCGUUGUCCGGAAUUAUUGGGCGUAAAGGGCUCGCAGGCGGUUUCUUAAGUCUGAUGUGAAAGCCCCCGGCUCAACCCGGGAGGGUCAUUGGAAACUGGGAAACUUGAGUGCAGAAAAGGAGAGUGGAUUUCCACGUGUACCGGUGGAAUGCUUAGAGAUGUUGAAGGAAGACUAAUGGCGAAGGCGACUC